CAGAGGAAGAUGAGCUAGACGAAGAGGAGGAGGAAGAGGAGGAGUCCUACAACAGACACACACACACACACACACACACACACACACACAUACAUGAUUUUCACACACAUACAGACCAUGAAUUUAAUUAAUGUAUAUAUCUGUGACUGAAUGUAUGUAUGGUUAUGUAUGGAUGAAUGCAUGCAUAUGUAUAACUGAAUGUAUGGAGAUUUAUGAAUGGUUAAAUUAAUGUUUAUGUAUGACUGAAUGCAUGGAAGCUUAUGGAAGUAGGAACGAGUGCUUGUAAGGUAUGUAUUGGAGAACAGAAGAAUGUAGAAAAUAUGGCUUUUUAAAGGGAGUAUAGAAAAUUGUCAUUUUGCAAUUUGCACAGCUCUUUGAGUAGCCCUAACAUUUACUGUACAUUUGCCUUUUAAUUGUUUUUAACCCUGUGCUUGUUGUGUGUCUCUGUGGUAGCUCUUGCAGCUCGUUCCCUGUGUCCAAAACAAAUUUCUCAAAUAAAUAAAGAUACUUUGACUUUGACAAACACACACAUACAUAAAAUAUUGCCUGUAUUGCUAUUGUGUUAAUUGUCAUUGUGUUUUACUGUAUUACUCAAGUGCAGAGAAUGUAUAUAUGUUUCUGAUAGGAUCGCAGUCUCCAUAGCAAAUACACAUAUGACCUGAAAUACCCUUCAGGGCCAAAGUAAAUAAUAACAAUAAUGAUGAUGAUAAUAAUUAAUCAUUAUCCAUCAACCAUGUCAUUUUAUAUCAUAGUCAUUUCAUAUUCCAAUCCUAAAGAGACCACUAAAACUGGACACUGAACACUAGACAAGAUAGGUGUCAAUCUAAUUUGAGCUGAAUGCCAGGGAAUGAAUCAUAUGUGGUAAUCCUUGAAAAUAAAUUCCCACUUCAGCGAACUUCACUGGACUACAUGAUUUAAACUCUCAAUCCACUGUGAGGUGCAUGCAUAUUUGUGGUGCAGGCUUUACGAGAGGCAGUGGGGAGAACAAUCAAGACUAGAGUAAUUUAGGUGCAUAUUACUUGAUAGGGUGGGAAGCAGAGGAUGUGUAUGUGUGUGCUUGUGUAUGUGUGUGUGUGUGUGUGUGU